GCCUGAUCCAGCCAUGCCGCGUGUGUGAAGAAGGUCUUCGGAUUGUAAAGCACUUUAAGUUGGGAGGAAGGGCAGUAAGUUAAUACCUUGCUGUUUUGACGUUACCAACAGAAUAAGCACCGGCUAACUUCGUGCCAGCAGCCGCGGUAAUACUGA
rnacentral:rRNA from 1 species